UCCAGCCAUGCCGCGUGAGUGAUGAAGGCCUUAGGGUUGUAAAGCUCUUUUAUCCGGGACGAUAAUGACGGUACCGGAGGAAUAAGCCCCGGCUAACUUCGUGCCAGCAGCCGCGGUAAUACGAAGGGGGCUAGCGUUGCUCGGAAUCACUGGGCGUAAAGGGCGCGUAGGCGGCGUUUUAAGUUGGGGGUGAAAGCCUGUGGCUCAACCACAGAAUUGCCUUCGAUACUGGGACGCUUGAGUGUGGUAGAGGUUGGUGGAACUGCGAGUGUAGAGGUGAAAUUCGUAGAUAUUCGCAAGAACACCGGUGGCGAAGGCGGCCAACUGGACCAUCACUGACGCUGAGGCGCGAAAGCGUGGGGAGCAAACAGGAUUAGAUACCCUGGUAGUCCACGCUGUAAACGAUGAAUGCCAGCCGUUGGGGGGCUUGCCUUUCAGUGGCGCAGCUAACGCUUUGAGCAUUCCGCCUGGGGAGUACGGUCGCAAGAUUA
rnacentral:rRNA from 1 species